rnacentral:rRNA from 1 species
AAUGAACGUCGGCGGCGUGGAUUAGGCAUGCGAGUCGCGCGAGAAUCGUAGCAAUACGAGGAAAGCGGCGAAAGGGAGAGGAAUACGUAGAAAUCUGCCCUCGGGACUGGGAUAGCGGCGGGAAACUGCCGGUAAUACCAGAUAACGUCUUCGGACCAAAGGUGUGAUUCCGCCUGAGGAUGAGUCUACGACCUAGUAGCUUGUUGGCGGGGUAAUGGCCCACCAAGGCGACGACGGGUAGCAGGUGUGAGAGCACGACCUGCCUCAUUGGGACUGAGACACUGCCCAGACACCUACGGGUGGCUGCAGUCGAGAAUCUUCGGCAAUGGACGAAAGGCUGACCGAGCGACGCCGCGUGCGGGAUGAAGGCCUUCGGGUUGUAAACCGCUGUCGUAGGGAACCAAAUUCACGGGGGUUCUCCCCUGUGAUUGAGAGAACCUAGGAGGAAGGAGAGGCUAAGCUCGUGCCAGCCGCCGCCGUAAAAC